UUUCCGUAGGUGAACCUGCGGAAGGAUCAUUAGUGAAUUGAAUAUGUUAGCGGACCUCUUCGGAGUCCCUAGCAUCAAAUCAUAUCCAUAACACCUGUGAACUUUAAGGCUUUCUUGAACACGAAAGUGAUUAGAGCGCCCGACAAUUUUAUAUAAACAUUAAAGUAACAAACGUAGGCUUAUUAUAAUCUAAUACAACUUUCAACAACGGAUCUCUUGGCUCUC
rnacentral:misc_RNA from 1 species